AGAGUUGAUCCUGGCUCAGGAUGAACGCUAGCGGCAGGCUAACACAUGCAAGUCGAGGGGUAACAGGAAAGCUUGCUUUCGCUGACGACCGGCGCACGGGUGCGUAACGCGUAUGCAACCUACCUCAUACUGGAGAAUAGCCCCUGGAAACGGGGAUUAAUACUCCAUAGUAUCAUUCUUUCGCAUGUUUGAAUGAUUAAAGAAUUUCGGUAUGAGAUGGGCAUGCGUCCCAUUAGCUAGUUGGUGAGGUAACGGCUCACCAAGGCUACGAUGGGUAGGGGGCCUGAGAGGGUGGUCCCCCACACUGGUACUGAGACACGGACCAGACUCCUACGGGAGGCAGCAGUGAGGAAUAUUGGUCAAUGGAGGCAACUCUGAACCAGCCAUGCCGCGUGAAGGAUGACGGCCCUAUGGGUUGUAAACUUCUUUUGAAUAGGAAGAAACUUAUCUACGUGUAGAUAACUGACGGUACUAUUAGAAUAAGGAUCGGCUAACUCCGUGCCAGCAGCCGCGGUAAUACGGAGGAUCCAAGCGUUAUCCGGAUUCAUUGGGUUUAAAGGGUCCGUAGGCGGAUCUUUAAGUCAGUGGUGAAAGCCGACAGCUUAACUGUCGAACUGCCAUUGAUACUGGAGAUCUUGAGUUCAAAUGAAGUAGGCGGAAUGAGUCAUGUAGCGGUGAAAUGCAUAGAUAUGACUCAGAACACCGAUUGCGAAGGCAGCUUACUAACAUGUAACUGACGCUGAGGGACGAAAGCGUGGGGAGCGAACAGGAUUAGAUACCCUGGUAGUCCACGCCGUAAACGAUCAUCACUCGCUGUUGGCGAUAUACUGUCAGCGGCCAAGCGAAAGUAUUAAGUGAUGCACCUGGGGAGUACGCCGGCAACGGUGAAACUCAAAGGAAUUGACGG
rnacentral:rRNA from 1 species